CCCUCGGGGUCAGCCCUGAUGUCACCCCUUGUCUUGCAGUGCUGAGGAAUGUAAACAAGUCUGCUGGGCUCUGAGGGACUUCACCCGCCUGUUCCGAUAGCUCCGGCUCCACACGGCUCCUGUCUCCCAGGAAUGUCUUGAAGGAGAAGACAGGAAACAGCAACCCAAGAAUGUGUCCCACAAUCAGCCGAGGGCUCUCGCCCGCUCCAGCGCAUCCCGGAGUCCGGAGCCGCGGGAGGACGGCUCGGGGAUCCCGCCUGCCCGGCGGCCUCACGGCCCGGAGCUCGGCCAACAGCCCCCGGGAACACCCCCGGGAACACCCCCGGGAACACCCCCCGGGCACAGCCCCCCGGGAACACCCCCGGGAACAGCCCCCAACCCAACUGCAACCCCACCAGGCACCGGAGCCAGGCGCGUCCACUCGGAUUCGCCCGGCAGAAAAAGAAGUAGAAAAACUUCCUGUGAAACGGAGACAAAAAAGAAGGAAAAGAAACAAACGAAAAACAAACAGUAGAAAUUGUUUAGGAAGAUGGGGGGUCAGGCUGGGGGUCCUGGGGCGCCGCCCCCCUGAGCCCACCGUGGCCUGCCUGGUGCUGACUCCCAGAGACGACACAGGCGGGACGGACUCUGCAAAUAGAGAUUUAUAUUUUAUUUU